rnacentral:pre_miRNA from 12 species
UUGGAUGUGUCAGGUUGGCAGUGCAAUGCUAGCUGGCUGUUGUAAUUCCAUUUUAACAGUUGCUAGUUACACUGCCCUCUGUUGCAUUCAGA